GACGAACGCUGGCGGCGUGCCUAAUACAUGCAAGUUGAGCGCUGAAGGUUGGUACUUGUACCAACUGGAUGAGCAGCGAACGGGUGAGUAACGCGUGGGGAAUCUGCCUUUGAGCGGGGGACAACAUUUGGGAACGAAUGCUAAUACCGCAUAAAAACUUUAAACACAAGUUUUAAGUUUGAAAGAUGCAAUUGCAUCACUCAAAGAUGAUCCCGCGUUGUAUUAGCUAGUUGGUGAGGUAAAGGCUCACCAAGGCGAUGAUACAUAGCCGACCUGAGAGGGUGAUCGGCCACAUUGGGACUGAGACACGGCCCAAACUCCUACGGGAGGCAGCAGUAGGGAAUCUUCGGCAAUGGACGAAAGUCUGACCGAGCAACGCCGCGUGAGUGAAGAAGGUUUUCGGAUCGUAAAACUCUGUUGGUAGAGAAGAACGUUGGUGAGAGUGGAAAGCUCAUCAAGUGACGGUAACUACCCAGAAAGGGACGGCUAACUACGUG
rnacentral:rRNA from 1 species